rnacentral:rRNA from 1 species
GAGUUUGAUCCUGGUUCAGAGUGAACGCUGGCGGCGUGCUUAACACAUGCAAGUCGAACGAGAACGGGUUAUAGCUUGCUAUAAUUGUCAGCUAAGUGGCGCACGGGUGAGUAAUGUAUAGGUAAUAUGCCUCUUACUAAGGGAUAACAAAUGGAAACGUUUGCUAAUACCUUAUACUCCUUAUUAACAGAAGUUAAUAAGGGAAAGAUUUAUUGGUAAGAGAUUAGCCUGUAUUGUAUCAGUUAGUUGGUGGGGUAAUGGCUUACCAAGACUAUGACACAUAACUGGUUUGAGAGGAUGAUCAGUCACACUGGAACUGAGACACGGUCCAGACUCCUACGGGAGGCAGCAGUGGGGAAUAUUGCACAAUGGACGAAAGUCUGAUGCAGCAACGCCGCGUGGAGGAUGACACAUUUCGGUGCGUAAACUCCUUUUAUAUGAGAAGAUAAUGACGGUAUUAUAUGAAUAAGCACCGGCUAACUCCGUGCCAGCAGCCGCGGUAAUAC